UGACACUUAAUACCUUCUUCUAAACCAGCCUAACAAGAAUUCAAUCUUUUCAAAGGAAAAACAUGAAUGCCGAGCGAAAUGCUUGAGUCCUGUUGUUUGACAGGUUUGAAUUUAUCUCAUUCAAAGGUAAGACAAUUGUUGCAGUUGGAAUGCACCUUACCCUAACUAAUGACGAUCUUCUGGCGGAAUCAAGUUGUUGAUGAUAUCUUCAGUUGAUCUCAGCAACGU
rnacentral:lncRNA from 1 species